UACGAAGGGGGCUAGCGUUGUUCGGAAUUACUGGGCGUAAAGCGCACGUAGGCGGAUAUUUAAGUCAGGGGUGAAAUCCCGCAGCUCAACUGCGGAACUGCCUUUGAUACUGGGUAUCUUGAGUAUGGAAGAGGUAAGUGGAAUUCCGAGUGUAGAGGUGAAAUUCGUAGAUAUUCGGAGGAACACCAGUGGCGAAGGCGGCUUACUGGUACAGUACUGACGCUGAGGUGCGAAAGCGUGGGGAGCAAACAGG
rnacentral:rRNA from 1 species